GAUGAAGAACGCAGCGAAAUGCGAUACUUGGUGUGAAUUGCAGAAUCCCGUGAACCAUCGAGUCUUUGAACGCAAGUUGCGCCCGAAGCCAUUAGGCCGAGGGCACGCCUGCCUGGGCGUCACACGUCGUUGCCCCCCCAUCUACUCCUUCGGGAUUGCGGGGGGCGGAUGAUGGCCUCCCGUGCGCCUCGCCGCGCGGUUGGCAUAAAUGCCAAGUCCUCGGCGACGCACGCCACGACAAUCGGUGGUUGCGAAACCUCGGUUGCCCGUCGUGUGCGGUCGUCGCGCAUCGAGGGCUCGAAAAAACUGCCGGGUUCCGGCUCGGCUUUCAACGCGACCCCAGGUCAGGCGGGGUUACCCGCUGAAUUUAAGCAUAUCAAUAAGCGGAGGA
rnacentral:misc_RNA from 1 species